rnacentral:hammerhead_ribozyme from 1 species
AUCAGGCUGAUGAGUUCUAAAUAGGACGAAACGCGCGUCUUGGAU